GCAGCCGUGGCUGACUGGUCACAGUUUUCGCUUUGUUAGCGAAUGAUCCUGGGUUCGAUUCCCAUCUGCUCCC
rnacentral:tRNA from 2 species